CCGGAGUCUGACUAUUGCAUGCUUGG
rnacentral:piRNA from 1 species